UCCCUCAGUAACGGCGAGUGAAGCGGGAAAAGCUCAGACUGAAAAUCUUCGGAGUUGUAGUCUGGAGACGCUAGAUCAGAUCAAUGCCUCGGCGAAAGUCUCUUGGAACAGAGCGCCAUGGAGGGUGAUAGCCCCGUUAGCUGAGGCCAAGGUUGUACGAUCGGCGUUCUAAGAGUCGAGUUGUUUGGGAUUGCAGCUCUAAGUGGGAGGUAAAUUCCUUCUAAAGCUAAAUAUAAAUGGGAGACCGAUAGCGAACAAGUACCGUGAGGGAAAGAUGCAAAGAACUUUGAAAAGAGAGUUAAACAGUACCUGAAAUUGCUGAAAUGGAACCGAUGGGGCGCAGUGUUGGCUUGUUGGUACUUGUACCCGUGAGCAAGUCAGGCUUCCUUCGCGGCGCGGGAAAGGCUUCCGGACCUGUAUGGGCCGGUUUUGCUGUCGUGCGGCGGAGGGACUCUGACGAAAUGCGCCUUAUCAUCCCGUCUUGAAA
rnacentral:rRNA from 1 species